AUUCACAAAAUCAUUUGAGCGCAUCAUACUCCAUCACCUGAAAACUGUCACCGGCCCCCUCAUACCAUACCAAUUUGCAUACAGAGCCAACAGGUCAGUUGAGGACACAGUCAACUUAGAAAUUCAGCACAUUCUGAACCACCUGGAGUCCACAAACACAUAUGCCCGCAUCCUGUUCAUGGAUUUGAGCUCUGCAAUUAACACAAUAAACCCGGCCAAACUGUUAGAUAAAUUACUGGACAUGAACAUUGAACCAUCUGUCACUGGAUUCACAGCUUCCUUUGGAACAGGAGACAGAGGGGGAAGAUCAACAAUAAUUCCUCAGUACAGGCACACCCCAAGGCUGUGUCCUCUCACCCUGGCUAUUCUCCCUUUACACAAACCAGCUCACAUCCCCCUACAGCUCUGUCAACCUGUAAAAGUACGCAGACGAUUCAACCAUCAUAGGACUCAUCACCAACAACUAAGAAACUGAAUACUGUGCACAGAUCAACCAAGCAGUGACCUGGUGCACAGAACAUAAUCUCUUACUCAACUCAUCGUUGACUUUGGACACCAGCCAUCCCCAAACUCCUGUGCUUAUUAAAGGUGAAUCCAUCUCCAUCAAUGACACAUUCAAACUCCUUGGAACUCACAUCAGCAACAACCUCAAAUAAACGCAGACCAAAUAUAUAAAAAAGCCCAGCCCAGACGGUUCCAUCUCCUGCAGCUUAAGAAGUUCAGAGUUAGGUCUCAUCUCCUGCUCCGCUUCUAUACAGCCAUCGUUAAAAGCAUCCUCACCUCAUCCAUCACAGUCUGGUUCAGCAGUCUUGACUCACUCUCCCGGAAGAAAUUACUGCGCAUCAUUAACAGAGCAUCCAAAAUGAUUGGCUCCCCCCUCCCAUUUAUUGAAUCACUCUAACGCAAACGGACACUUCGCAGAGCCCGCAAGGUCAUCUCUGAUCCCACUCACCCUGCACACUAUGCCUUCCAACUGCCCUCUGGGAGGCGUUACAGGUCAAUUGCCUCUAAAACAACCCGCUUCAAAAACAGUUUCAUUACUAUUGCAAUUAACAUUUUGAACUCUGAACGCUAGGAUUAAGCACGGCCCUUAUGUAUUAUGUAAUGUUUCUGUCUGUAUGUAUACCUAUGUUAUAUGUUUAAUGUUUAUUGUAAUGUUGGAACCUGUACCAAGGAGCUGUACUGAAAACAAAUUCCACCAGCCUGGCUGUGUGGUCAUUAAAAUAAUCAAUACAAAUCAAUCAAUUAAUUAGGUGUAUGUGUGUGUGUGUGUGCGUACUUGGGGAUGGGGGCUGUGUGUAAGAUUGUGUGUGCAUGUGUGGUGCUACACCUAAUGAAACCCUCACCAGGGGUAUGAAUGGAAACGUUGCUAAUGUUAAUUCACCAAUGGAGAAAUAAAGCUGGUUUAUAAAACCCUUCCACAUAGGAAAGGCUGUGUCUCAUUUCAUAAAAUGUCUGCCGGCUGCGUCCUGCCCAGGCCAUCAGAUACAUCGUUUUAUCUCACACACAGAAAGCACAGAUGGACCAAAAGGGCAAUACAGACAGAAACUGAUUUUAGUGACUUUCUACAUGAGCCGACACAAUCGUAACCCUUUUCCUAGAUUCAAAAGACACUUUUUGGACUCUGCCACACCCACCACAACCUUUUAUUACAUCUGAUGUGUACAAAGAUGGAGACCGCUGGCCCUGCAGGGCUGAGAGUCUCCUCCUGGCCCUGAUCCAUCGCUGAAGGCCCCACGUCUGAUCAAAUCGUGGUCAGGCCGAACCAGACCCGGUCCAGGUCCCUCCAGAGAACCCAUGUCACAGAGCGGACUGGUGAAAGUACUGAGCAGUGGCGUUGCUACCAGUAGCAGCUUCACCAAUGGAAUUGAACUGAAUCUAUUUUGCGUACUGGCAGUGUUGUAGUUGCGUUCUCAGUCUUCUCCCUUCUCAGUAGCCAAGCUCUUUCAUUGGUCAAGGAUUGUGGUAGCGUUGACAAAAGCUCAGUUUCUCUUAGCAUUCUGAAGCUCAGCGCUGAGGUCUUCAGUAAGAGAAGGCUCAGUCACAACUCAUUCAUAGUCGCCAUGAGGGACCGGUGCCAGCAUAACAUCAUCAAAGCCCUCUCACACAAGGCUGUCUCAGAUUUGUUCACUGGAACAUGGUGCAGGGGGUGGAGAGAGGAAUAACUCCCAGUGUCUCACACACACACACACACACACACACACACACACAUGGACAUAGAUACAUUUUAAGCUCUCACUGCUACAAAUCAACAAAAAAUGUCAUAACAAAGCAGAGAGUGUAUACCCCCACUCUUAUCACCUGCUUUUUGUUAUUUUAUUCGAAAUGAAAAAAAAUAUAUAGCUUUAAUAUAGUAAACUGCCGUGCCAUGCUGCUGCAGCUCAGCAUGCUACAUGUCUCUGUAGCUUCAGAGAAGUGAAUCUUCAUAUAAAGGAGCUGGUAUCUGAGCUCACUACUUGUUACAAGUAGCUUGCCAAACACUGAGUGAGGAUUUCUGUAAGGAGCAGGUCAAGAACCAAACCACCAAAUAAGCUGUCCUGUAUAAACGAUGGUGCAGUAUAUGAAUUUUAAUCUGGCCACCCCCCCUCCUUAACAGUAUUGAGCAAGCCAAAGAGUUUACCCCGACAUAAAUCAAACUCUACCUCGGCCAUAAGUCUUAACGUAGCCUGGGGAGAACAAGGGUCUGCAUCUGCCCAGUAAACCCAGCAAGCCAGAGCUCAGAGGCACCUCCCCUUGAUGGGGGCCGUGGACCUUGUGGAGAGUAGUCAGCAUGCUGCCCUCAUCUAAUGCUCACUUCCAUAUUCCAUUGAUGCUCAGCAUAACUAACAAUAAAUGGUUUCAGGGGGUCGAAAAUCUAAUUAAACACACACACGACCUAGGAGAUAACUUUUGUGAGCAGAUGAGAGGGAGGUCUUUGGGUCUCCGGUAGAGUGGUUGUUUGCUGCUACAAGGCUUACCCACCUCCUCAACAUGCUAAACUCUGAUGAUCAAGCAGCUCAGACUGUUUUGAGGAACUUGUAUGACAUGACUAACACUAUUAAGCGAAAGAGAAAUCAUAUUGUCGCUUCUGUGGGUGAAUGUCGCCAUUAAGGGAUAAAGAUUGCUACUUGCAGUUUUGGAAACAUUUUUAUAAUAUCCAAACACAAAACACACAAAAGAUAAUUUGGUCAUCCCCUGUUUGGCCAGACGGCUGCUUUUACCUUCACUGAAGUAUCGGCAUGGAGGGUUCUCAGACUAAUACUGGUGCCUUUACCUCCACUGAGGCAUCGGUGAAGGGUUCUCAGACUGAGACUGGUGCCUUUACCUUCACUGAGGCAUCGGCGUGGAGGGUUCUCAGACUGAGACUGGUGCCUUUACCUCUACUGAGGUAUUGCCGUGGAUGGUACCCGCGGCCCGCAAGCAUGCACGGGCGUAAAGAAAGCUGAAGCACUCGAAUCCUGAAUGGACAUUUGAAUACCUAGAUAAGAAACGAAUAUCCCAAUAAUCCAGCUCAGCACUAGCUGGUUGAAUUUUCUUCAUUACCAACCAAAGAUGUAUCCAGACAGUAGUUGUCAAUCACAUAUUGUCAUAUCAGUAUUGCCUUACUGUACAUUGUACACUGACUACAGGAACUAAGAUCCUAUAUCAUCAUGACAAUAUUGGAUCUGGGUCAAUGGUGGAGUCUGAAGCCAUGGUGUACACAUACACACAUGAACACUCAAACUCACAC